GGGGCUGCGGCCGAGGCCGGGCGUGAGGAGCGGCCAAGCGCGCCGCGGGCGGAUGGAGUCGCUUCCCCGCCGCGCCUGAGCCGGUGCACAGAAGGGGCCGCGGGGCCGCGCUCUCCCCGCCAGAGCCGCAGCAUGGUUGACUAUAUUGUGGAAUAUGACUAUGAUGCUGUACAUGAUGAUGAGUUAACUAUCCGAGUUGGGGAAAUCAUCAGAAAUGUGAAAAAACUACAGGAAGAAGGAUGGCUAGAAGGAGAACUAAAUGGGAGACGAGGGAUGUUCCCUGACAAUUUUGUUAAGGAAAUUAAGCGAGAGACAGAACCCAAGGAUGACAAUUUGCCCAUCAAACGGGAAAGGCAAGGAAAUGUAGCAAGUCUUGUACAGCGAAUCAGCACUUAUGGACUUCCAGCUGGAGGAAUUCAGCCACAUCCACAAACCAAAGCUAUUAAGAAGAAGACAAAAAAGCGUCAGUGUAAAGUUCUUUUUGACUACUCUCCACAAAAUGAGGACGAACUGGAAUUGAUCGUGGGGGAUGUCAUUGACGUCAUUGAAGAGGUAGAAGAAGGCUGGUGGAGUGGAACCCUGAACAAUAAGUUGGGACUGUUUCCCUCAAACUUUGUGAAAGAAUUAGAGUCCACAGAGGAUGGUGAAACUCACAACGCUCAGGAGGAAUCAGAAGUUCCUUUGACUGGCCCUACCUCACCGUUGCCAUCUCCGGGGAAUGGGAGUGAACCUGCUCCCGGAUCAGUUGCACAGCCAAAGAAAAUCCGAGGAAUUGGAUUUGGAGACAUCUUUAAAGAAGGCUCUGUGAAACUUCGGACAAGAACUUCCAGUAGUGAAACAGAGGAGAAAAAAACAGAAAAGCCUUUAAUCCUACAGCCUCUGGGAUCUAGAACUCAGAAUGUGGAGGUAACAAAACCAGACGUUGAUGGCAAGAUUAAAGCUAAGGAAUAUUGUAGAACAUUAUUUCCCUAUACAGGAACCAAUGAAGAUGAACUUACAUUUAGAGAAGGGGAGAUUAUCCAUUUGAUAAGUAAGGAGACUGGAGAAGCAGGCUGGUGGAAGGGUGAACUGAACGGUAAAGAAGGAGUGUUUCCAGAUAACUUUGCUGUUCAGAUAAGUGAACUAGAUAAAGACUUUCCAAAACCAAAGAAACCACCUCCUCCUGCAAAAGGUCCAGCUCCAAAGCCUGACCUGUCAGCUGCAGAGAAGAAAGCUUUCCCUCUAAAGGCUGAAGAAAAAGAUGAAAAAUCACUGUUAGAACAGAAACCUUCUAAACCAGCUGCUCCUCAAGUCCCGCCCAAAAAGCCCACUGCACCCACCAAAGCCAGUAACUUACUGAGGUCGCCUGGAGCAGUGUACCCAAAGCGGCCAGAAAAGCCAGUCCCUCCGCCACCUCCAGCAGCCAAAAUUAAUGGAGAAGUUUCUAUAAUUUCUUCAAAGAUUGAUACUGAGCCAGUAUCAAAACCAAAGCUAGAUCCUGAACAAUUGCCAGUUAGACCAAAAUCAGUAGACCUUGAUGCCUUUGUAGCCAGGAACUCAAAAGAAACAGAUUUUGUUUCCUAGCCUGUUUGCCAUGUUUCCUCCCUUCUUACGUGUCAGGAAAUUAUCCUACCCUUCUCCAUUUUGAUGAUGUAAAUUUUGAUGACAUAGCUUCCUCAGAGAACUUGUUACAUCUCACUGCUAAUAGACCCAAGAUGCCUGGAAGACGAUUGCCUGGCCGCUUCAACGGUGGACAUUCUCCAACCCAAAGCCCAGAAAAAACCUUGAAGCUACCAAAAGAAGAUGAUAGUGGCAACCUAAAGCCUUUGGAGUUUAAAAAGGAUGCAAGCUACUCUUCAAAGUCAUCUCUUUCAACACCUUCAAGUGCUUCUAAAGUAAAUACAGCUGCUUUCCUAACUCCGUUAGAACUCAAAGCUAAAGCAGAAGCAGAUGAUGGGAAAAGAAAUUCCGUGGACGAACUUAGAGCCCAGAUUAUUGAAUUGUUGUGUAUUGUAGAUGCACUGAAAAAGGAUCAUGGGAAAGAACUGGAAAAGCUACGCAAAGAAUUAGAAGAAGAGAAGGCCAUGCGAAGUAAUCUAGAGGUGGAAAUAGCAAAGCUGAAGAAAGCUGUUCUGUUGUCUUGAGGUGGUGUGGACCCAGUGUUCCUAAUGAUUCAUGAACUUAACUGACUUGUUAAAGACAGCAGAAAUGGUGGUGUGAUGAAGAAAUAAGAGGACAUAAACUGUGACAUCUACCGAAAAGUUGGGGGUGACAGGUUUUUUUUAUAUAUUUUGUUUUGCCAAUAUGAAAAAAAAGAAGAGGCCUUAUUUCUUACUGUGCUGGGAUUGCAAACAUUUCUAUUGUUUGCUUAAAUACUACUGAAUCUGUAUAAAAAGGAAAGAAAGUUCAUAAUAGUUUUUUUAUUGAAACUUGUAUUAUUUUUAAAGAGUUCUAUACUAUAAAUAUCGUAAUAUCUUUACAAAUAAGCUGUAAGAUAAACUAUUUGAGAAGGACGGGUUAGCUUUAUAGUAGAGUCACUGCUUUCCUGUACUGCAUAGGGCAUGAACUUGUAUACAUACACUACACCACACACACACACACACACACACACACACACACACACACACAGACACUUUCCUUUUAGCUUCUUACCCAGGAUUACACUGCUGUGCCUGUUUGUCUGCAGUGCUGUUUGUACAUUGGGUGAUAAAAUAGGAGUUCCUAGUUACUAGGUUCCUCACCCAUGCAUAUUUAAUCAUUAAUGAAAUAAUAACAAUCCAAAUUCUAGAGUGUUCUAUAAUGCUCACUAUAGGAUUCAUUAAAGGAAGCUAUUUAAAUUGUACUGGAUUAAUCUUGAGAAAAUAGGAGCUUUGUUCUAAAUUCAUGUGGCCUAAGAAAUCUAAAACUGUCAUGCUAAUUCUUAUUUGUGCCUAGACACCGCAGCACAUGUGGAAUAUGUAAACACCAGCCAUAUUGUUAUAUUCUUAUGCUCAUUCUACAGUCUUAAAUAUUACUCAUUUCAUUAUCUUGUAUUCAUUGUACCCUUCCUUUAAUUUUCACUAAUGAUAAUCUUAGGAAACAAACCUAAACCCAGAUAUUUUCAGAAUUCCAGAAUGAGGUUCUAUAUUGGAAAGCUAUUGUGUAAACACUCAGGUUUUACAGGCAUAAUUUAUCGAAUAGAACAAACUAAGUCCUAGAGAUAUUUUGGACUGUUACUUAGGUAAAGUGAAAAAGAGUAUUAGUAAUUGACCAUAUUGAAGAUCAUUCCACAAUGGAUGUUGAGCCAUUUAUUUAGCAUCACAAUCAACAGUUGAACAUCUUAGACUGGCUCAGCCACUAUCAGGGCGGUAUGGCUACAGACCAAGUGAACAUAAAAAUGUUGUAUCUGUAGGGCGACAUGUUUAAAAACACAAAGGUUAAUUUUAAAAAGUGAAAUGUUUUUAUUUGUUAAAAAAAAGUUAGGUUUUAAGCUUUACUUUAGAAAAUGAAUGUCAGAUUGUAAAUUAUCAUGCUUAAAAAAACAAUACAUUUUCUUUACAUUUUAAUCUUAAAAUAGAAAAAAAAUUAAAGUCAGAUUUCUUGUGUUAUUUCAAGUAAAAUAGAGCUGAAGUAGAAAAUAAUAGAAUGCCAGCACAAGGUUACACUUGAUUAGAUUCUGGGGAGAGCUAAUUGUACAUAGAGUGUACAUUGUAGGUGUUUUGACACAGGAACUUAUAUAUCCCAGGCUGGACUUAACCUUGUGAUAUAGCAAAAUUGUCUUAAACUUCCGGUUUCCCUGCCUCUGCCUCCCAAGUGCUAGGAUGACAGGCAUGCCCAGUGUGCCUAGCCUUUUUAACCAUUUCAACUCUGAGCUCAUCUAAUGAGAGGUUACUGAUGACCAAACUUCUCCAUUUUAUUUUUAAGUGAUUAGUCAAAUGAAGUAUUUGCUUCUUAUUAAUGUAAUGACAGUCCUCAGAUGACAGUGGCCUUACCCUAAGUAUCAUCUCCUACUUCCCCCACAUUUUAGAAAUGAUCUCCUGCAUUCCCAAAGGGAGGUUUGUCUCCACCCACACUGCUGGGAGGGAAAGGUCUAAUAACAGUAAAAAGUAACAUACACAGUCAACAGUAGGGGAGUGACUAUGCUUUCUGGACAAAUAGGUAACCCAUAGAUACUAGUUAAAAUGUAAGAAAUUAGAAAAGCAGAUAACUAACAGAAAAGUGAGUUUAUGUGUUAUAAACACAAAUAAGAAAAACAGAAGCACAGCCCCUUAUUGUAUACUAAGUUUUCCUUUGCAGUUUGGCUCCUUCCUGACCCACUGUGUCACAACCUGACAGGCGAUCUCAGCCCCAGGAGCACAUGUAGUUUAAUGCUUGUAUGCUAUUUAAAGGUCCAUUUGAGCCACGUGUAGUGAUGACAUGCCUGUAACUUGGAGAUUUGGGGAGAGAAACCAUGAGUUUGAGGCCAGCCUGUGCUGUAUAGGGGCCCUAUAUCCACAAGAAAGGAAACAGCGUUCCUUUGGUGGCGGUGGGUAUUUUUAGUCCACACAAUCAGAGUAGCCAUGAGUCAUCCCUACACACUUUUGCCAUCUCAGUCAGAAUAGAGAAGUCAUACUGUCUGUUUUCUAUAUGUCUAUUUUAUGCCCUUUACAAAAUAGUUCAGAAAAAAAACCAAACAAGCUUGAACUUAAUUAAAGGGAAAAAUAAUUCCUUUAAAAGAGUAAUUUGCCAGUAUUUGCCCUUGAUAUGGGAACUUUUACUAUUUCUAAAGUUAAAGUCAGAAAAUGAUUAAUAACAACAACAACUUUACUUAGAGGUAAAUCCCUCUUCCCCCAAUAUUAGUAUAAAAGACAGCAUUGAAUCUGUCAUUGCCAAAUUAUUAGUGAAUGUAUAGUUCAGAUUUGCUAGUCUUUGAAACACAGCACUCCUAAGUUUCUAACAGGAUUCCAAUGUUAUUUUGGUGUGUUUGUGACCACUAAGCUUGCUUCUUACUAUAAAGGUAUUACCUCUAUACAACUGUACAGGACUUCACAGAAAAUCAGAAGAUGCAGAGAGAGUGGGCCCGGUCUUAACAGAGGACUCCUUACACUCCUAACUGUGAUCACAGACAAGAAAUACCUUCCGAAGUGCUCUGUAGAUUUUUUUGAUGAAUGUUUUAUGCUUGCAUUUAAACUUGAAAUGUAUGAGCAGAAUGAGACAAUCUUUACAAUCAGAAUUGAGAAGUGUUACAAUUGAAUGGCCUUGUGCUGUAGCAAUAAAAUGACCAAGUGCAAUGACUUUAAUAAAAUCAUCUUUCAAACGUUGCUGCUAUUAAUAUUUUUAGUUAACAAAAUUCUGUCGUUUAGCCUACCUUGCCUUCUGUUUGUUAACUGUUAUGUGAUACAGUUGAUGUUUUGACAAUCUAACAUUCCAAAGUCCACAUAUAUAUCUUAAAAGUCUUAGAAUAGUAUAUUCAUUUUUUUUUACAGGUGCUGUUAAAAAAGGAAAUGAAAGCAUGCUUUUCCCUCAAAAAGAAAAAUUAAUAAUAAAAGAGAACUGUGCUGCC